rnacentral:rRNA from 1 species
GGUUUGAUUCUGGCUCAGAUUGAACGCUGGCGGGAUGCUUUACAUGCAAGUCGAACGGCAGCACGGACUUCGGUCUGGUGGCGAGUGGCGAACGGGUGAGUAAUGUAUCGGAACGUGCCCUAGUAGCGGGGAUAACUACGCGAAAGCGUAGCUAAUACCGCAUACGCCCUUCGGGGAAAGCGGGGGACCUUCGGGCACUCGCACUAUUAGAGCGGCCGAUAUCGGAUUAGCUUUAGUUGGUGGGAGUAACGGCUCGCAAGGCGACGAUCCGUAGCUGGUUUUGAAGGACGACCAGCCACACGGGACUAAGGACACGGCCAGACUCUACGGGAGACAGCGGUGAAAUUUUGGACAAUGGAAACCUGAUCAGCCAUCCGCGUGUGCGAUGAAGCCUUCGGGUUGUAAAGCACUUUUGGCAGGAAAGAAACGGCGCAGGAUAAUACCCCACGUGCAACUGACGAAAACACCUUACAGGAGCAACUGCGGCUGACUACGUGCCAGCAGCCGCGUGUACGUAGGGUGCAAGCGUUAAUCCCGUUACUGGGCAUCAGCGUGUAUGAGCGGUGAGUUUAGGAGAAAGAUGUGAAAUCCCAGAGCUUAACUGGAACUGCAUUUUUAACUACCGAGCUAGAGUGUGUCAGGGAACGUUCCGCGUAUAGCAGUGAAAUGCGUAGAUAUGCGGAGGAACACCGAUGGCGAAGGCAGCCUCCUGGGAUAACACUGGCGCUCUUUUAGCGUGGGAGCAAACAGGAUUAAAUUAUCUUGUGCUCUUACUUUUCUACCGCCUGGCACCCUGCCCUUCUCACAAGUGAGUCCACGCCCUAAACGAUGUCAACUAGCUGUUGGGGCCUUCGGGCCUUGGUAUGCAGCUAACGCGUGAAGUUGACCGCCUGGGAAUGCGGUCGCAAGAUUAAAACUCAAAGAGAAUUGACGGGGACCCGCACAAGCGGUGGAUGAUGGAUUAAUUCGAUGCAACGCGAAGAGCGCACCGCGCGGCGCAAUGCGGAAUCCCGAAGAGAUUUGGGAGUGCUCGCAAGAAGAACUGGAACCUGGAGUGCUGCAUGGCUGUCGUCAGCUCGUGUCGUGAGAUGUUGGGUUAAGUCCGCAACGAGCCCUCUUGGCCGCCGUCAUUAGUUGCUGAAGAACGCCUACAACAAGUUGCGGAGUGAACGAGCCGGAGGGAAGGUGGGGAUGACGUCGUCCUCAUGGCAUAUGGGUAGGGCUUCACACGUUAUACAAUGGUCAGGACAGAGGGUCGCCAACCCGCGAGGAGCCAAUCCCGAAACCCAUUCGUAGUCCGGAUCGCGGUCUGCAACUCGACUGCGUGAAGUCAGAAUCGCUAGUAAUCGCGGAUCAGCAUGUCGCGGUGAAUACGUUCCCGGGUCUUGUACACACCGCCCGUCACACCGGGAGUGGGUUUUACCAGAAAUGAUCAGCCUAACCGUAAGGAGGGCGAUUACCACGGCCGGAUUCAUGACUGGGGUGAAGUCGUAACAAGGUAA